GAAUAAGAACACGUCUCAUGGCGUUCUUGGAUCAUUGUACAUUCGUCUUUGAUCCAGUUCUCUCAUAUCCAUAACACCUGUGCACUGUUGGAUGCUUGCAUCCACUUUUAAACUAAACAUUAUUGUAACAAAUGUAGUCUUAUUAUAACAUAAUAAAACUUUCAACAACGGAUCUCUUGGCUCU
rnacentral:misc_RNA from 1 species